GACGAACGCUGGCGGCGUGCUUAACACAUGCAAGUCGAACGGAAAGGCCCUGCUUUUGUGGGGUGCUCGAGUGGCGAACGGGUGAGUAACACGUGAGUAACCUGCCCUUGACUUUGGGAUAACUUCAGGAAACUGGGGCUAAUACCGGAUAGGAGCUCCUGCUGCAUGGUGGGGGUUGGAAAGUUUCGGCGGUUGGGGAUGGACUCGCGGCUUAUCAGCUUGUUGGUGGGGUAGUGGCUUACCAAGGCUUUGACGGGUAGCCGGCCUGAGAGGGUGACCGGCCACAUUGGGACUGAGAUACGGCCCAGACUCCUACGGGAGGCAGCAGUGGGGAAUAUCGCACAAUGGGCGGAAGCCUGAUGCAGCAACGCCGCGUGCGGGAUGACGGCCUUCGGGUUGUAAACCGCUUUCGCCUGUGACGAAGCGUGAGUGACGGUAAUGGGUAAAGAAGCGCCGGCUAACUACGUG
rnacentral:rRNA from 1 species